GACGAACGCUGGCGGCGUGCCUAAUACAUGCAAGUCGAACGCACUCUCGUUUAGAUUGAAGGAGCUUGCUCCUGAUUGAUAAACAUUUGAGUGAGUGGCGGACGGGUGAGUAACACGUGGGUAACCUGCCCUAAAGUGGGGGAUAACAUUUGGAAACAGAUGCUAAUACCGCAUAAAACCUAACACCGCAUGGUGUAGGGUUGAAAGAUGGUUUCGGCUAUCACUUUAGGAUGGACCCGCGGUGCAUUAGUUAGUUGGUGAGGUAAAGGCUCACCAAGACCGUGAUGCAUAGCCGACCUGAGAGGGUAAUCGGCCACACUGGACUGAGACACGGCCCAGACUCUACGGAGGCAGCAGUAGGGAAUCUUCCACAAUGGACGAAAGUCUGAUGGAGCAACGCCGCGUGAGUGAAGAAGGUUUCGGAUCGUAAAACUCUGUUGUU
rnacentral:rRNA from 1 species